UACGGAGGGUGCGAGCGUUAAUCGGAAUUACUGGGCGUAAAGCGCGCGUAGGCGGUGGCGUGAGUCGGAUGUGAAAGCCCCGGGCUCAACCUGGGAAUGGCAUUCGAUACCGCGUUGCUAGAGUUUGGGAGAGGGAAGGGGAAUUCCGGGUGUAGCGGUGAAAUGCGUAGAUAUCCGGAGGAACACCAGUGGCGAAGGCGCCUUCCUGGCCUAAGACUGACGCUGAGGUGCGAAAGCGUGGGGAGCAAACAGG
rnacentral:rRNA from 1 species